rnacentral:rRNA from 1 species
UAACACCUGGAAAACAGAUGCUAAUACCGGAUAACAACAGAUGAUGCCUAUCAACUGUUUAAAAGAUGGUUCUGCUAUCACUCUUGGAUGGACCUGCGGUGCAUUAGCUAGUUGGUAGGGUAACGGCCUACCAAGGCGAUGAUGCAUAGCCGAGUUGAGAGACUGAUCGGCCACAUUGGGACUGAGACACGGCCCAAACUCCUACGGGAGGCAGCAGCC